AUAGCAGCAGGCAAUUCAGCAUCACUCACACUUCUAUCUCGACCUCUAGGGCUCUGGGACUCCUCUGUCUUUUUUACUGAGCCUCUUCUCUCCAGGACUACCCCCCUCCCCAAAGAGCAGUAGAUGCAACCCAGGUGGAUUUCAAUCUUAACCUGAAGGACUGGUGUGGGAGUGGAAGAGAGCUGGAAUUGGGAAUCAAAUCUCUCUAUAUAUCUUGCCCCCCUUUCACUAGUAGGGAUCAUCUUUCUUUUUUGUCCUUGUAUUUUUCUUCUUUUGCCCCCUCCCCGCCAUCCUCUGCUUCCUCUCCCUGGGACUCUGGUUCCCUAAUUCUUUUCCCUGGCUCCUCUCCACAGUAGGGGUCUUUGGUUUCUCUGCUUUCCUUCAGGUCAGCUGAUGGUCUAGCUGCUGGUCUACCAGUAGUAGUCUACUACUACUAUUCUGUGCCUGGAAGCUUUCAUGAGUGAACUCCAGCUCUGCCCUGCCCGCUGUCCAGAUUGGUGUUUCAGUUCCCACAUGGCUGAGGUUUAGCAUUAAUACUAACUAUCUUUGACAUUAUGACUAAUUCAAGCCAUUUAUUUUUCCCUGAGAGCUCUGGUCACCUUGAACAGUGCCCACCUCUCCUCUGGCAUAUUCUUGGGUGUAUGAUGCCAGUAUAUGGGGAUCAAUUGCCACCUGCCAAUAACAAGGCUCCAAAUGGAAAAUGAACAUGACUUGGAAACCCACCAGGGGGUUGGUAAUGAUUAUAAAGGUGUGGUAGGCAAUGGGUUGGGUGUUGAAGAGAGAACGUGAAGAGCAAAGAGCAGCAGAGACCCUGGUAUGUAUGGAUGCAAAAGUUAAGAUCACUUGGGGGUGGGGGCUGGGGUUAUGGCUCAGUGGUAAAGCGCUCGUCUAGCACGUGCGAGGCGCUGGCUUCGAUCCUCAGCACCACAUAAAAAUAAAUAAAUAAAUGUACAACUGCAACUAAAAAAAAGGUUACUUCUUCGGAAAAAACAGAUGCAUUAUCUUGUCUGGAUUACUCUGACCCUCCCUAUUUCUCUCUCCACCUCACUCGAAGCUCUGGGGUGGCCUUCCAGAUCUCAAUCCUACCCUCUUACUCUAUUCCUAUGCCUCUAAGGGAGAGGAAUGAUGUCUCCUGCCAAUUAGAGACUCCCAAAAUAGCACAGCAAUUUGAUCUGGAGAUCUGGGGGAAUUGUCAAGGAUCAUGAGUGACCUCCCCUCUUCACUGUUGUCCAAGUUCCCUGAAUACCAGGAAUCAAAAGAUGAAACUCAACCAGUAGAGUUGGAUCUGCAUCCAACAGAGUCUAGGGGAGAGCAUGGAGGGAACUGAAGGGUAACUAGGCCCCUCAGGAUGAAUACUGCCAUUCUAGAAUUGCCAAAGUGUUCUUCUCUAUGUUCUCCCCUCCCCUGCCCUGCACUUUUAAAUCACCCAGAAAGAGUGGAGAGUUUCAGGGUCAGGGAGAGCCUUUCCCCUCCCCCACUUUCCAUUGUCUAAAAUCAGCCUCAGCUGUUCCCCCUUGCUUUUUUUUUUGGUGGUUGUUGGUGGUGGUGAUGUCAGUCCAUCAAAGUGUCUCACCCUGUGUUCCCCUGGGGGGAAUACUGAUGGGGGGUGGAGGGAGUUGGAAAGACCAUAUUGGGAAUAAGAGGUGGAGCCCUAAGCAGAGAUAAAGGCUCAAGUCUGGGGACCCCUCGUUGCUCAGACAGCAUCUCCUCCUUUCUUGUCCUAGUCUCUAGUUCUCCAUUGUUCACAGGUAAUCCCACCAACAGCCCCUGCUCAUGAUGGAGGCCAUCAAGAAAAAAAUGCAGAUGCUGAAGUUGGACAAGGAGAAUGCUCUGGACCGGGCAGAGCAGGCUGAAGCGGAGCAGAAGCAGGCCGAGGAAAGGAGUAAGCAGGUAAGCGCGGCACCUGGCCAUCUCACCUGCUGGGGAACCGGAGGGGGACAGGGAAGGGGGUUCAUGGGAAAGGCAGUGGCCACUGGUGCCAGCUCCUUCUUUGGCGGGAGGGACUCCCCAGCCUCAAUGGACAGUAGAGGACCUCUAGGGUCCUCGAAUGCCUGUGUAACUGUGGCAAAGUCAGUGGCCUCUUUGGUGCCACAGUGUGACUGCUGGAUUAGUGGACCACAUUUUGGAAGAACCUCUGACUUCUAGAGGAAAAGGUAAGAGUUUAACAUGAACCACCUCUUUUCUCUUAAAUAGUGUCACAGGUAUCUUUCCACGCUCUUGGAUAUUUACCAUCUAAGGGUCUUGGAUGAAAACCCAGGACGGUUUGUUGAUCUUAGGAUCAGAGACUUUAGGGUCCCAGAGCAAGCCACAACAUUACUCCUGGAGCAGUGGGAUGAAAGUGGUUGGAGAGAAAAUGUGUCUGUCUCUGGGGAGGGUAACAUGGAGGCUGGACUCAGAGUCUAUCAGAGUCCGAGUCUGCAUGAUCAUGCAUGAUCCAGAUCUCAAUCCUACCCUCUUUGUGUGUGACUCUCUGGACUCCUGUAGCUGGAGGAUGAAUUAGCAGCUAUGCAGAAGAAGCUGAAAGGGACAGAGGAUGAGCUGGACAAGUAUUCUGAAGCCUUAAAGGAUGCCCAGGAGAAGCUGGAGCUAGCAGAGAAGAAGGCAGCUGAUGUGAGUAUGAGAGAGAUGGAGGAUGUGUUUCAUCUACACACAGACAUCUUCAUAUUAAUAUAUUCCAACACACUCUGAUGUAUACAUACUUGUGGGCUCAUGGAACAUAGACAUAUAUACCAUACACAUUUUAAUCACAUGCUAGUAUAUCCUCAUAAUGGCAUAUAUUUUCUUUCUCAAAGACAUGUUGGGGUUGGGGAUGUAGCUCAGUGGUAGAGUACUUGCCCAGCACAUAUGAGAAAAUGGGUUGAAAGAAAAAGAAAGAAAGGCCCAGUGCAGUGGUGCAUGCCUGCAAUCCCAGCAACUUGGGAAGCUAAAGCAAGAGGAUUGCAAGUUCAAGACCAGUCUGGGCAACUUACCAAGACCCUGUCUUGCAAUAAAAUAUAAAAAGUGUUGAGGAUGUGGCUCAGUGGUUAAAUACCCUGGGUUCAAUCCCCUGUACAAGAAAAGAAAGAGAGAGAAAGAGAGAGAGAGAGAGAGAGAGAGAGAGAGAGAGAGAGAGAGAGAGAGAGAAGAGAGGAGAGAGGAGAGAGGAGACAGACAUUCAUGUAGAUGUCUCAUUUUUAUUUUACCUAUCCCCAGCUGGGGAAUUUAAUUAUCUUUUCCAGGACCUGGACAAAGGGAUUGGACUCCCAGUCCAGACUGCUAUCAUGUAUCCUACCUCCUACCCCAUGCCACAUUCUUAGCUUUUGUGUACAAGGCUAGGCAUGUAGAUGUGUGUAUUAAUAGAGAAACUCUCAUAUCUCAACUGCCCAACAAAGCCGGCUUGGAUUUCACAAUGGGAAAUGGAGGUCACAUUGACCCUGGCCCUAUAUGGGUCUAUUCAUCUUGGCCAAUGUGGACACCUGCCUUUAUGCGUCAGAUACCAUAGGAAGUACUGCUCAUAGGGCAACUCAGAGGUCCCUAGAGUGGACUUUAAUAGAAACUAAGGAAUCUUACGAGGUAAAGUUAUCACCACCAGACCUUACUCUAUGUUCUUGAGUAAAUUAUUGUUUCUGUAGGGCUGAUUGUUCACAUUUGAAAAGGAAGUAAAUUACCUUUUUUUUAACCACUUCCUAUUAUCCUGUAACCACCUAUUUUCUUUCAUUUUCAAUUUUGAAGUUUGCUGCAAAGAUAAUAGACCAGAUAGGAAAUUUUUUUGGAAGAAAAAUACCAUAGAAAUACUUUUUUGGGGUACUGGGGAUUGAACCCAAAACCUUCCACUGGGCUAUAAACCCAGCCCACAGGAAUUGUCUCCCUACCACCUGUAGUACUGGGGAUUGAACCUAGUGGUACAGGGGCACUCUACUACUGAGCUACAUUCCCAGCCCUUUUAUUUAUUUUGAUCUCAUUAAAUCGCUAUACCUGGCCUCAGUCUCUGAAGUUGCUGGGAUUAUAGGUGUGCCACCAUGCCCAGCUCUUUGCAAAAGAGAAUUCUCUCUUCUUGGAAAACUGCAAACAAACAAGCAAACAAACAAAACCCCACAGGUUACCCCCAGGGUGAGUGAUAGACAGCUUGUUGGAGUUGCCAAGCCUAGGUCCCAGGUAUGGAUGGAUGCAUCUCUCUGGUUCCAGUAUAUGGACAGGAGGAUAGACGUUUUCACAAACUAGCACAAUGUCAGGUUAGCAUAGUUUUGUGAGAUGCUAGAAAACAACGCCCCAGGGAGGUCCUUAAGCUAAAACAUUUGCAGGCUCAAGGAGGUGUGUUCCAGAAGCAAGAAAAAGAAGUCUAAUAUCAGAUCUUGGAAGAGGGAAAGUGACAGAGGCUAUAGAUAAUAAAUCAAUAUUACCGGGAAGAUAAAGGAAUUUCUUGGGGCUGAAUUCUGUCUGUUGAAUUGUUUAUUUAUUUUAUUUAUUUAUUUUGAUACUUGCGAUUGAACACAGGGGUGAUUUACCACUGAGCUACAUCCCCAAUCCUUUAACUUUUUUUUUUCUUUUUGAGAUAGUGUCUUGCUAAGUGGCCAAGGCUGGCCUCAAACUUGAGAUCCUCUUGCCUCAGUCUCCAGAGUAGCUGGGAUUACAGGUGUGCAUUGGCACACCCAGUUUGUCUUAAAAUGUUUUAUACAACCAGGCAUGGUGGUGUACACCUGUAAACCCAGCAACUCAGAAGGCUGAGGCAGGAGAAUCACAAGUUCAAAACUAGUCUCAGCAACUUAGGGAAGCUCUAAGCAACUUAGUGUCUCAAAAUAAAAAAUAAAAACAGCUAGGGAUGUGGCUCAGUGGUUGAGCACCCCGGGUUCAAUCCCUGAUACCCCCCCCCCAAAAAAAAGGAAAGCAAGUUAUUGUUUAUAGGAAUUGGAAAAGUACCAAAUAAGGAAGAGUAGCAAGGUUUAAAAAGAGAGCAAGAGCCAGGCAUGGUGGCACAUGCCUGUAAUCUCAGCAGCUCAGGAGGCUGAGACAGGAGGAACGCAAGUUCAAAGCCAGCCUCAGCAACUUUGAGGCGCUACACAACUCAGUGAGACCCUAUCUCUAAAAAAAAUCAAAAGAAAAAAAAAUUAGGACUGGGGAUGUGACUCAGUGGUUGAGUGCCCCUGAGUUCAAUCCCUGGUACCAAAAAAAAAAAAAAAAAAGAGAGAGAGAUAGAGAGAGAGAGAGAGAGAGAGAGAGAGAGCGCGCGCGCAAGGGUCAGCAUCAUCUGCAGCAUAAUAUAUAUAUAUAUAUAUAUACAUCUUUGUGGGAAGGGUGCUUUGUCCAAUACAAAGGAAGCUCUGUUCUUCUGAUUAAUAAAUAAGUAAACAGAACAUAUUACCUUGUUGUAGGUGGACAGGGAGGAGAGGGAUGAGGAAGUGAAUAGCUGCAUGUUUAUACAGACAGAACUGGUUAUCUGAGAAGCCUUUGUGAAAGUCUAGGAUUUGCUAGGACUGCUUGAACAAAGAAAGGCAAGGAUGUGGCAAAGGUCAAUCCAAACUUUAUUUUUUGUACUUCUCCAAGAUUGUCUAAUAUUGUUUUAAAAAUUGUGCCAAAAUAUAAAUACAUAAAAUUUGCCACUUUAACCAUCUUUUAAGUACACAGCGACACUACAUAUACAUUUACACUGUUGUGCAACCAUGCCUAAGGCCCUCUUAAUCUGAGAUGAAAUCAGAAGCUGUUUAGGGAGAAACAGGUAAGAGGAGUACAAUGGUUAGGACACAAGAGUCAUAACACCCUUUUUUAGGAAUAGGCAUUGGGAGAGAUGGGGGGAGAAGGAACAGACCUGGACAUAUAAACUUGUUGAUAUAUUAUAUUGUUUGUCACCAGGAAAACAAUAGCACUGGGCCCCUUGCUGCCUAUCCAUCAUGUUCUUAAAGGCUAUCAGGAGUCAGCCCAUCUGUUUCCCUGGAUCAAGAGGAGAUUAUCUGUUCAAGUCCACCAGCCUCAGGAACGCAGUGGUGCUCUCAACACCCCUUUGGGUUGUCUAGGACAAGGGCUUCAGCUUCUUCACUGGGGCCCAGAGAGGUGCAAUAGUGCCCCCUGCUGAUCAGUGUCCAGAUAAGGAAAUCUCACUUCCACCUUGGGAUGAGAUUUCUUUAAAGCCAGCUGGAAAAAUUAGGCCAUCAAGUGUAGAGUCAGAACCCUGCUCUUCCUUUGCAGUUACUGUGGGAGAAAUCAAAGUACCCUACCAAGAAAAUUUAUUGUUGGUCCAAGUUUUUUUCUUCUGAAUAAGGUCAUUAUUUAGUAUUUCAAAAAGAGAGAGGAAGGCAGAUUCUCUGGAGGGGGCAUCCUUAGAAUCAGACCCAGAUAUUACACUACAAUUGUCUUUCCAACACUUUUAAGGGUUAGGAUUCUUGAUUCUAAGUCCUAUUCUAUAUGCUAAUUCUGUAGGGGAAAAGAGCUGCACCAGAGGAGAAAUUUAUCAUUAUUACUUACUGAGAAGGAUGAAGGAAUACAAAGAAAUAGAGGGGAAAAUAAAAUUUUCAAGUCUGGCUGGGCUGGGGAUGUAACUCAGUGAUAAAGCGUUUGUCUAGUGUGUGAAGACUCUGGUUUUGAUUCCCAGUACCAGCAAGGGAAGAAAAAUAUACCUCAAGUCUUUCUCUUUUUUUCUACCUUUUUUCUUUUGGUAUUGGAGGUUAAACCCAGGGGCACUUACCACUGAGCCACAUCCCCAGCCCUGUUUUGUAUUUUAUUUACAGGCAGGGUCUCACUGGGUUGCUUAGUUCCCUCCAAGUUGCUGAGGCUGGCUGUGAACUCUAAAUCCUCCCGUCUUAGUCUCCCAAGCUGCUGGGAUUUCAGGCAUGUGCCACCAAUCCUGGUUUCCCCAUCCCUUUUUAGCUUCUUUGAGACUGGUUUCUCUAAGUUGCCCAGGCUGCCCUCAAACUUGUGAUCCUCCUGCCUCAACCUCCCCAGUUGCUGGGUUUACAAUGGUUUGCCAUAGAGCCUGGCUCAAGCUUAUUAUUGUAUUUCCAGAAAUCCUGCAUAGCAGUGCCUGUAGGAGCAGGAUCUAGUUCCUUGGGAUACCUCAUGCAGUAGAGGCAGUGAAAUUGGUGAAAGUCAUUAUAGAAUGGAGGUUCAAUACCACAGUAGUUUUCCAGGCACCUCUAUCUUGCUGUUGCACAAAGGAUCUAGUGACAGGAAUCUGCAAUAAGAAUUCCUUCCUGAUAGAAUGGGGGCAUAUCUGCAGAAAGGACUGUAAGUGAUCAUUAAAUUACCAAGUCCUGAGUCAUUCCAAAACUUGAAGGGGCUGGUAAGUCAAUUAAUGGUAUAUAUAUAUAUAUUUUGCAAGGUGGGGGUAAAGGGGGAUAUUGGGGAUUGAACCCAGGGGUGCUUUACAAUUGUUAUUUUUUAAAUUUUAAUACAGGAUCUCUUUAGGUUGCCCAGGCAGGCCUCAAACUUGGGAUCCUCCUGCCUCGUUGCUGGGAUUUUACAGGUCUGGGCCAUCACGCCCAGGUUAAUGGUGCAUGCUGACUCUCAAAUAGGGGAAACAUUGGUAUUGUAAAUAGAAUAUUUAAGUUAACAAUUGAUGCUAAAUAGAAUGAGGACUUGAUCAACUUGUCUGUCUCUUCCACCCCAAUAGUUUCCUUCAUUGAUUUCCAGGAAAUGGAGAGAACCUACCUGAGCAAAUUUUGGUAGGAAGCUGUAGUGGAAAACUCUUUGAAAGAUGAGACCCAGAAAGUCUUUUAGGCUUUUCUUAGAACCUGUCCUGGGAUGGGUGGAAGCAGAGACUGUAGGAUGUUUCUAUUGUGGAGAGGAUACAGGGUGCCCUCAUGGGUAAGCGGUGGCGAACAGGCAUUGCGAGGUCAACUUCGGGAGUGGAGGGGCAACAGGACGCUUGUAAAUGGGCCAACCAUUGUGGGCAGCCUGCCUGGCCAGAGAGGCUAGACCACGCAGCGACCCCCAGUUACCAUGGUAACCCUCCCUCUUCUCAACCCCGCCCCUCUUUACUAAUCCA
rnacentral:lncRNA from 1 species